AGAACGAACGCUGGCGGCGUGCUUAACACAUGCAAGUCGAGCGGAAAGGCCUUUCGGGGUACUCGAGCGGCGAACGGGUGAGUAAACACGUGAGUAAUCUGCCCAUCGCUUCAGGAUAGCCAUCGGAAACGGUGAUUAAUACUGGAUAUGACAUUCCUUCGCAUGUUGGGGUGUGGAAAGUUUUUUCGGCGGUGGAUGUGCUCGCGGCCUAUCAGCUUGUUGGUGGGGUAAUGGCCUACCAAGGCUUUGGACGGUAGCCGGCCUGAGAGGGUGACCGGCCACACGUGGGAACUGAGACCACGGCCCAGACUCCGUACGGGAGCAGCCAGGAGGGAAUAGUGGACAAGUGGGCGGAAGUCCGUGACUCCAGACAAACCGGCCG
rnacentral:rRNA from 1 species